rnacentral:rRNA from 1 species
UACGUAGGGACCGAGCGUUGUCCGGAUUCAUUGGGCGUAAAGAGCUCGUAGGCGGCCACUCAAGUCGAAUGUGAAACCUCGAGGCUUAACCUCGAGCCUGCAUUCGAUACUGGGCGGCUAGAGUCUGGUAGGGGGAUCUGGAAUUCCUGGUGUAGCGGUGGAAUGCGCAGAUAUCAGGAGGAACACCGGUGGCGAAGGCGGGUCUCUGGACAGUUCCUGACGCUGAGGCACGAAGGUCAGGGGAGCAAACGGG